UCACUUUUAAGCAUAAAAAUGACUAUUCUUAUUCCCCAUAUGUUCCCAAAAAUAUCGACAGCCACUCUUCCUCCCUCCAUAACCAAUUUCUUCACAAAAUCCCAUCUUUAUUGAUGAAUCGAUGAAGCAAUUGCAUGAUUGGACUAUUUGGAGGUUAGUUGGCAUUAGAGAGUACGAGUUGAUGUUCUUCAUGUCUGUCUCAGUGCUGCAUCCUUGGAGGGUCACUGAGCUCUAGAUCUUUUGAAUUGUUAGAUGUGGCGUGUUAGCACUAAAUUUUGUAUUAAAUAACUGUGACGCCCCGAGAAUUUGCUCCUCUCUUUUGUUUAAGUCGGAUAUAUUAACUCGAUUAAUUCUCGUUGAGAUGACGUGGAAUUUUCGUUGUACCCUUCCGAUUUUGAAAUAACUUAAGUGUUGUUGUUUGGAGGAAUAAAA